ACGCAAUGGAGGCUCACCAACAGAACUGUGAAAACCUGGAGAUUAGGGUGUCCGACUUCCAGCACUUCGGCAAGAGUUUCAUCAAGAAGUGUAAGGUGAGCCCUGAUGCCUUUCUCCAGAUGGCACUCCAAGUGACAUACUUCAAGAACGCU